rnacentral:tRNA from 1 species
ACCUGGCUGGCUCAGUUGGUAAAGCACGUGACUUGUGAUCUCAGGGUUGUGGGUUGGAGGCCCCACGUUGGGUG